AUUUUGGUUUAUUUUAUUUUUUUCAGUUAACUUUUUUUAUUUGUUCACAUCUACAUGCUGAACACAAUCACGACACGUGUAGUUGGUACAUGAGUUUUUUAGUCUGAAACAGAAAUAAUAAUUAAUGAAUAUAGAACUACACCGUCGCACACAGGAAGUAUCAAGAAAGGACUUCCUCCACUUCCUUAAGCCCGCAGCUUUGUUGACAAGUCAGGGGGCGGGGCGAUACAGAAAAACCUUUAUAUCGAUGAGCAAACCCUGCUCAGCGCUCAUAUGGAUAUACGAAGACUUUUUUAAGAGAGUGAGUGAGGAACAGGAGAGAGACCAGGUGGUUGAUGCUGAGGAGAUCUGCAUGGCCAAGGUCAGUGGUCUACAGCGAAAACAGGGGCGAGCGCACCGUUAUGAGCAUUUACCUGAGCACAAAGUUCCCAAGCAAAACUGAACAGUUUUCUAUUUAGGAGUGAACAGGUAAGAGACAUUGAGAAAAAAAUAACUAUAAUUAUCAUCUGGCCUGCAACCUCAUGUCAAGUUGUAUCUGUAUAGUUGACUUUCUGUAUUAUAAGUUCUACUACUUGCUGGAUAUUUUUAUAUAUACUGUUAUUUUGUCUUGUAAUAGUUAAUUAUAUACUCCUUUAUUCCAUAUCAUAGCAGUGUUAUUCAUAUAUUAAAACUGUCAGCUGCACACUCAUUUGGCAGAAAAAAAGUUUUACAAUUAUUCAUUUGUUCUUUAUUGUCACAUUUCAGUAACAUUUAUAAUUAAACAAGUUGUAAUUAAACAAAUAAAUGACUACAACAUUUCCCCCUGUUAAGUGCAGUAGACUGAAAUGAAUAGCUUUAUUUGGAAAUAUAACAUAUCUCAUUUUUAAUGGACUUACAUAAAAUCUUUCUUCAACAUAGACCCCACUAAUGAACUGAUUAAGUGUUAUUUUUUAUGAAAAGAAAAGAGAAAAUGCACAAAAGUAGGAAAGGAAAAGAAAGUGAUAAAAUAAUAGGUUUUGUUAAAUGUUCUUCAGAUAAUGAAUUAAUUGACAAAGUUUUUGCAGGGUGUGACAAAAAACGUUCGAGGUCAAGCUCCUGCGGCUAAGCCCCCCCUAUAUCUCAAUCCUAGUGACGUCCAUGAGUGUUGCAGCAGAUGGACCUUAUGUGUCUUUCUUCUUUGUUUAUUAUUUAGAUAAAACAAAAGUGUGUUUUUUCUUCUGUUCUGCAUCGCUCCCUGCCAGUUUCUGACUUGGCUGCUGAACUGGACCAUGGCACUGGUGUGCUGGUAUCUGAAACAGUUUGCAAAGGGAGAUUUACUUCUCAUAAAGGAUGCUGUAAUACGUAGCGGUGUGUAUUUCUAGCUGCAGCCAUUAAACUCUCUGAUCAUAGCAGCUCGUUUGUCUCAUCAUCACCCCGUCUGUUUGGCUCCAGCUGGUCUUGUUGUCCAACAGCAGGAACACGAAGAUUUUUGCACAGCUGUGAGGAACUGAACUGAUGCAGAAUCAAUGUUGAUUUGAUUCUUUCUCGUGUUUUCCCUGAUGGUGUGUGCAUGGACGUAAUUUUGGGGGGGGGACAGGGGGGACAUGUCCCCCCCCCACUUUUUCCAAAGUCAAGGUUUGACCCCUGCACUUUUUACCAUCCAAAAACAAUAUUACGCUAUAUUAAAUUGACACUGGUUGAGCUCUAGGACCAAGCGGAAAACAACCGUUUGUGUUGAAGCCUGUUUCCCAUUAGAACAUACUGUAAAGAUACCCCCCCCCCCCCCGUGUCCCCCCCACUUCUAAAGUGAAAAUUACGUCCAUGGGUGUGUGUCUGUAUUUAGGUGCCGAACAGAAUCGCUCUCCCUCUGCAGGACGAUUUUCCUCUGACACUCAGGCCUCUGGUGGUUUGUAAGUCCUGCUGUCAGCUGUCACCAGCGGCUGUGUGUGUGUGUGUGUGUGUGUGUGUGUGUGU